CCCGGACUCCGCAGCGGAUUUAAAGUGAAGUGGCUGGACUUUAUUGUUGUUGUGGAAAACAAAACAGUACGUGCGUAUUCCAAAGUCAGCUGGAGUUGGCUGAAAGACACUGAAGUAGAAGAAAAAACAUGAGUCCUAAAAAUAAAAAGCCGUUUGGCAAGAGGGUGUAAGAAGGCGUAAACAAAAUUAUUUUAAUUAAAGUAUCAAUUUUGUGCAAAAUGAACUUGUGUUUUUUUAAAAAGUAAAGUAAUAUUUCCUACCUGAAAAUAUCCCUAUUCUUGCCCAGACUUCUGUGCGCCUUCUCCACUCUAUUGGCAGCGGCAGCCUGGUGUCUUUUCAGGGCGAAGAGAAAGGUAGGCCUCGGCCCAGACCUCUAACAUUAUGUAAAUGAGGCAAACCUCUCAACCUUGUGGAUUACUGAGUCAGAGAGCAGGACCCUGGUCCACAGACCCUCCACAUUAGGAUCCCAUAAAAAUCUGGAGCUGGUUGGCUGCAUGCGACGCUUAUGAGAGCUCAUAUUGUCCACAUUAAUAUAGUUGUCAAUCUAAGUUAACUUUUACAUCCAUUGAAUAUGAUGUGGCCAUGGCAGCAGGAGCGGGAUAAACGGACGCGCCAAGGAGCUAAGAAGAAAAAGAAGAAGAAGAAGAAGAAGAAGGCCCCUGCCGAGAAACUGAACGCUGCUUAAAUCAACUGCUUCAUGCCGAAGGGGAGUACCACUUAAACUGAAUCCUCUGAGAUGGUUCUUUUUCUCUGGAAGGGUGUCAGCUCUCUGUGCCUGGCCAUCCCUGAGGACGCUUGAUGUCAUCUUGUCUACCUGAUCAUUACACUACCUGCUCUCCUCUACAAUGCUGCCCUCUCGCUGCUCCGCCACUUGAAAUGCUUGGCUGGCCUCUUCUCUGAAACCAUCAUGAAAUUGUGUGCUAAAACGCUGCAGACUGUUCCUCCUCUCUCUCGUCCCUCCAGCCAUGUGUGCAGGAGCCAGAAAAAGAUUCCGCCACUCGGACGACUGCUGCUCAGUCAACGGGAAAACAGACAAAACCUCCUCCAGCCUUCUGCCACUGCUCACCUCUCACAGCUUUUUAUUUGAUUUACUGAUGCUUGUAGUGUAGGACAUUUUAUACACUGCAGCAUUAUCCAAAUAUAUCAAAUGGACUCAUACCCAGUUGUUUAAAAAAAACUGUUCAAAUCAUGGAUCUUUCUCUCUCAAAAUACACUGUGUAAAACACAAUCAUUUCUCCCUGCAGCUUAUUAGAUAAUGCAACUUGUUUAAAGAGAUUAUUUGAUAUUCAUGCAUCACAAGGGACGCAUUGAUGUUUACUAUUUGCUGUUAAUACAGACUUUAAAGUAUAACCAUAUUUGAUAUUUCAUAAUUUGCAAAAAGAAAAACAUCCAGAUACUGAUUCUGUGUAGAAGCAGAUCAAGUCCUUUUGCUUUGUGGCCCUAAUAGAGUACACCAGGCCUUUUUCACAGAGGACACUUUGAUGUGUAACAGUAGGGAGUGGUAUUGUGCAGUGCAUGCUGGGUCACUGUCAAGGCCAGCGUUAAUGUUGUUAGUAACAGCUGUGCUUUUGCUAUGAUGACAAGUCAAAAAGUCUGCCUUGAAAUAUGCAGCGUGGAGUGCAGUGUGCUCACCCUGCUUGAAAGCAGAAGCCACUGCUCAAGCGAAGCCUCACGAACACUGAUAAUGUGACCUGCUGCGUUGCAGAGAUCGUCCGUUUACGCUCAUACCAAACAAAAUAUCACACUCAUCAUUAGCGUCUGUAAAAGCACUGAACUCUAACAGACAGCCUGCAAGUGGCGUGCUCAAGGUCCAUCUCAUAACAUGCAGUUCAGACCACUGUAUGAGUAGCUGCAUGUGAUUCAGAUAUGAGAGGAGCUACUAACAGAUGCAGGAAUGAUGUAGUGUGUAUAUUAAAGGAUAGGCUCACAAGUUUUCGUGUCUUCUGUCCUAAAACAGUCGUCAGGUGCUCACGACUGAAGCCUCAUAUAAGCUUCUGGUAAACUUUGCAUAAACAUAAUACAUAAUACAUACUAUAUAAUACAUUUUGGACUGUGAACUUUUGUCCCACAUCACUUACUGUACUUUGAAAGUGCAUUAGAUAAGGCUGUUUCAGUGGCCAGGCUGAAUGUGAGGAAUGAUUACAGCAAGCUUCUUUCAGUGUUCAUACGGGCACCUGACUAUUGUUUGAUAAGAAAACAAAUUGGGAACUUCAAUUUAACGCUAGUACACACUAACGUGUUUGGUGAAACAUUAAUAAACCCAGAUUCAUCAUGCAGCCAAACUAUUUUUAGCACUUUUAUUCAUGAAUGGAUGUUAGGAGUGUCUCAGUAUCUCGGCAGUAAUUUAGUUCACAUCCAAACGGUGGAGAGGCGACACUCGUGCCUCUGAGCCGUGCACUGUGCGUUACCACAGUCCUCUGCUGCUGGACAUCAAGCAGCAGAGAGGUGAUAGGAAAUGUUGAGGAAGAGGACUCCUCUCAGCCUCCUUUCUCAGGUGUUCCCAGCUCACCCUGGGAUUGAACCACUCAUAGAUGCGCCUCUCUUACCUGUAGCUGGCCCAGUUCCAUUGCAUGCUUCAAAAAUAUUAAAGUCCUAAAAAUAACUGUGCUUUCACAAUAAUAUCCCUUUUGUAUUCACUAAAACUGUUUCACUUCCACCCUUGUGUACUUUGUGUAUUCAGUUUAAAAACAAAAAUGUAUCUGGUUCCAUUGCUCUCUACUUCACUGACCACUGUUCUUCAUUUCCGAAAAACUUACACUACACGUGUCUGUAUGUUUCCCACGUGGUGACAUUCUCUGGAUUCUCUCUCCUGUAUAUAAUGUUGUUCAUGUCAGAUUGAUGUCAGAUGUUUUCUAAUUUGAAAUAUGAAACUUGAGCAUGAGUUGUUUGUUUCCAACACGUGUGCACCUCAGGUGAUUCAGAUGAAUAAAAGAGUGCGGUGUCACGAUGAACCAGUAUAGCUGCUGCUAGGUGGAGGGAACUGGACACAACAUACAUGUAUAGUAUGUAACUAAAUAUAGAGGAUUGAAGUGUGCAGUAUUUCCCCAUUAAAUGCAGUAGAAUAAAAGUCUCACAAAAUUAGCAAAUAUAGCACGUGUAAAUUACAUACAAUAUGUUUAUGUUAUUAUAUUAAUAUAUCCAUUGUGGUAAUUAUGUUUUAUAAUGUUAGUUCUUUUUUUCCUGAUUAACACAAUUAUAAGACAAUUAUAAAAUUACUACUAUGGUGGCAUGUAUUUUAUUGAACAAUUCUAGUCACUUUUAUUUAUAGACUACAUUUUAAAACAACCAACUGUGACCAGGCUACUGUACAGAGAGCUUACAAAUACAUACAAUACAAAAAGUGUGGCACACAGAAACACAUGAUAUAAAAUAGACUAUAAAAACUGUGUAUUUAUAUUUACAUUUGUGAGUGUCACUAUUAAGCUGAAGUAAAAAUGUUGAGUACCAGAAUGGAUGUAAAAACAUGCCGAUAGCAGGGGAAGACCUGUUCCACCCUGCUCCACCAAUCCCAGGGAUUUUAACUGGGGCCACGGAGAGGUGCGACUGGACAGAGGAGCCCAGGGGCCUGGAGGUUGAGUGGGGGGACUGAGGAUGUCACGAACAUAAACUGGUGUCAAACCACGCAAAUUUUAAAAACUCACUGAAAGAUAAGAGAUAUGGCCUCUGUUCUCGGUGCUUGUGAGGAGCCUCGCUGCUGCAUCCUGCACUAACUGUGGCUGAAACAAAGUGACUCCCACAUAGACUGAGCUAUAAUAGUCAAGACAUGAAGACAUUAAAGCAGGUUGUUAGUCACUGCAUAUCAUUCCUAGACAUAAAUUGCAUAUUAUUUGGAAUGGUAAAAAAAUAAAUAAAUAAAUAAAAAAUGA